GUGCCAGCAGCCGCGGUAAUACGUAGGUGGCAAGCGUUGUCCGGAUUUAUUGGGCGUAAAGCGAGCGCAGGCGGUUUUUUAAGUCUGAUGUGAAAGCCUUCGGCUCAACCGAAGAAGUGCAUCGGAAACUGGGAAACUUGAGUGCAGAAGAGGACAGUGGAACUCCAUGUGUAGCGGUGAAAUGCGUAGAUAUAUGGAAGAACACCAGUGGCGAAGGCGGCUGUCUGGUCUGUAACUGACGCUGAGGCUCGAAAGUAUGGGCAGCAAACAGGAUUAGAUACCCUGGUAGUCCAUACCGUAAACGAUGAAUGCUAAGUGUUGGAGGGUUUCCGCCCUUCAGUGCUGCAGCUAACGCAUUAAGCAUUCCGCCUGGGGAGUACGGCCGCAAGGCUGAAACUCAAAGGAAUUGACGGGGGCCCGCACAAGCGGUGGAGCAUGUGGUUUAAUUCGAGGCUACGCGAAGAACCUUACCAGGUCUUGACAUACUAUGCAAAUCUAAGAGAUUAGACGUUCCCUUCGGGGACAUGGAUACAGGUGGUGCAUGGUUGUCGUCAGCUCGUGUCGUGAGAUGUUGGGUUAAGUCCCGCAACGAGCGCAACCCUUAUUAUCAGUUGCCAGCAUUAAGUUGGGCACUCUGGUGAGACUGCCGGUGACAAACCGGANGAAGGUGGGGAUGACGUCAAAUCAUCAUGCCCCUUAUGACCUGGGCUACACACGUGCUACAAUGGAUGGUACAACGAGUUGCGAACUCGCGAGAGUAAGCUAAUCUCUUAAAGCCAUUCUCAGUUCGGAUUGUAGGCUGCAACUCGCCUACAUGAAGUCGGAAUCGCUAGUAAUCGCGGAUCAGCAUUCCACGGUGAAUACGUUCCCGGGCCUUGUACACACCGCCCGU
rnacentral:rRNA from 1 species